AGAUCCCUCAAAGAUGAUGAGGUUAAUAGGUUCGAGGUGGAAGCAUGGUGACAUGUGGAGCUGACGAAUACUAAUCGAUCGAAGACUUAAUCUAAUUU
rnacentral:rRNA from 1 species